AUGCUCGUUUUGGCAGCACAUAUACUACAAUUGGAACAAUACAGAGAAGAUAAGCAUUGCCCCGUUCAAGGAUGACACACAAAUUUGUGAAUCAUUCCAUAUAUUU
rnacentral:snRNA from 1 species